CCCCUAGAUGUUCUGGGCCGCACGCGCGCUACACUGAACAGUUCAACAAGUCUUAACCUUGGCCGAUAGGUCUGGGUAAUCUUUGAACGCUGUUCGUGAUUGGGAUAGACCUUUGCAAUUAUGGGUCUUCAACGAGGAAUUCCUAGUAAACGCAAGUCAUCAGCUUGCAUUGAUUACGUCCCUGCCCUUUGUACACACCGCCCGUCGCACCUACCGAUUGAAUGAUCCGGUGAAUAAUUCGGACUGCAGCACUGCUUGGUCUCCAGGCUUUGCAGCGGAAAGUUUAGUGAACCUUAUCACUUAGAGGAAGGAGAAGUCGUAACA
rnacentral:rRNA from 1 species